rnacentral:misc_RNA from 1 species
AACGCACAUUGCGCCCCUUGGUAUUCCGAGGGGCAUGCCUGUUCGAGCGUCAUUUCAACCCUCAAGCAUAGCUUGGUCUUGGGCUUCGCCGCUAACCCGGCGGGUCUUAAAACCAGUGGCGGUGCCGUCGGGCCCUGAGCGUAGUAAAUCUCCUCGCUAUGGGGUCCCGGUGGACGCUGGCCAGCAACCCCCAAUUUUCUAUGGUUGACCUCGGAUCAGGUAGGGAUACCCGCUGAACUUAA